rnacentral:rRNA from 1 species
UACGGGGGGGGCAAGCGUUGUUCGGAAUUACUGGGCGUAAAGGGCGCGUAGGCGGCCUUCUAAGUCAGACGUGAAAUCCCUCGGCUCAACCGAGGAACUGCGUCUGAUACUGGAUGGCUUGAGUUUGGGAGAGGGAUGCGGAAUUCCAGGUGUAGCGGUGAAAUGCGUAGAUAUCUGGAGGAACACCGGUGGCGAAGGCGGCAUCCUGGACCAACACUGACGCUGAGUGAGCGAAAGCCAGGGGAGCAAACGGG